rnacentral:lncRNA from 1 species
AGACUGUCGAAAAUUAAAUACUACUCAAACCAAAUUUUGUCAAAGAUGUCAGGCAACAGCAACUGGCAUAGGCUACUGAUAGGAACAUGAAAUGUUAUAACCACUUUGUAAAACAGCAUGGUAGUUUUCUAAAAGUGUUAGACAUACAUGGACCAUGUGACCUAGUCAUUCCAAUCCUAGAUAUUUGCCCCAAGGAAAUAAAAAUAUGUUCACAAGAAGACUUGCACAUUAAUGUUCAUGAUACCUUUAUUUGUAAUAGCCAAAACCAGGAGAUAGUAAAAUGUUCAUCAACAAAUGAGCAGAUAAGCCAACUGUGGUCCAUCCAUAUAACAUAAUUCUACUCAGUAAAUAAAGGCAUAAACUACAGAUACACAAUCAACAUGAAUGAGUUUUAAUAUUAUUAUGUCGAGCAAAAGUGCAAGACAAGAAAUGAGUACAGACAGUAAGAUUCCAUUUAUAUAAAAUUCUAAAAAAUGUAAACAGUCUAUAGUGUAAAAAUGUAAAUGUCUAUAGAAAAACAGAUUAGGAAUUUUCUGGGGACGAGGGUGGGAUGGACAGGGAGGAAGAAGAGGGAGGGAUUACAAAGUAGCACAAGAAAACAUUUUGGGGUAAUGAAUAUAUACAUUGUCUUAAUUGGAGAGACGGUUUCAUGGGUAUAUGCAUGUACAUAAAUAUGUGCCAUUUAUUACAUGUCAAUGACAUGGGAUAAUACUGAUUUUUCUUUUCAUUUUAUAAUUGCAUAAUGGAAAUAAUAUUGGCUUUAGAGUCAGACAUAUGAGUUGAAUACUAGCUCUGCUCUUAUAUAUAAUGCAACCUUAUAUAAGUUACUUACAAUUUUGAGUCAGCUUCUAUAUUUAUUUAUGUAGUAGUAAGAAUAUCAUAUGUGAGUAUAAGAAUAUAUAUGUCAAAGGCUUGCUGUAUUAAAUAUAAUAACAUGUAUAUUUUUCUUCUUUAUCCCUAAACCCACUCCGAUUACCCUCUUCUUAAUGGGUACCCUUCUUGUAUUUGACACGUAGCCUUGAAUAUGUUUGUAUGUAUGCAUGCAUACGCUUUAAAGUAAUUAAAUGGCAUUGUGCUAAAGCUUUUGUUUUCCCUUUAUGCUAAAUUUAAAGGACAUACCCUUAUUUCUGUAUAUAUGUCCAGUAAGUUGCUUCUAACUGCUGUAUCAUAUUCCACACUAUGGAUCCAGUCAAGUUAGUUCACUGACUUCCGAAGAGACAGAUAUCUGUGAGUCCAAUUUGUCUACUUACUACCGCAAACCAUAAUGGAAUAAAUACCUUAAUACUUGUUUUUUUGUGUGGAUCAGAACAGGUCCUCUUGGCUGUAUAUGCAAAAGUGCAAUUACUGGACUAUAGGACAGACAUAUGAUGAAUUUUACUAACUCAGUACUCCUAGGUUACUGGUAAAUUUGAGUAUCACUUCCUAUUCUUAUUAGCUACUCAGCUUUCCCCUUUGUAAAUCACAUUCUUAUCUUUUGUUCAUUUUUAUAUUGAGUUUCCUGUCUUUUACUUGUUGAUUUACAAUUCCUUGGAAUGUCUCUCUAUUAAUGUCAUUAAUUUUAUGCAUUACUAAAAGCUAUUUCAGUCUGUCCCCAGCCUAUUAACUUUAAGGUGUCAUUCACUGACUAGAACUCUUUCAUUUUAAUACAGUCAUAGCCAUCCUUUCUUAACCCAACUAUUUAAAAAGAUAUUUUUGGGUCAUGUUGAAGAAGUACAGUUCCUCACCUGUAUCUCAAACAUAAUUCUCCUACAUUUUCUUCUAUGAGCUUUAAAGUUUUCUUUUUAAUCCAUCGUUUUCAUCCCUCUGGAGCCCAACUUUUUAUAUGGUGCAAUGUAGGCAUUUAUUUUUCUCCAUAGAGUGAGCCAAUGUUUCAAUAUUAUCUGCUAAAGAGUUUGCCCUGUCUCCAUUACAUAAGUAGCGCAUCUUUAUCAUAUAUCACCCACAUUUUUUUUAUAAAAAGAAGAAUGCUUCUGGAAGAGUGAUGACCCAAAAUAAGAAAGACCAUGAGAAAUAUUCUUGCCUUUCCACUCUCAGGAGGGUACUGGUGACACUGUUCCUCGCUAUGGGAUCAGCCUUCUGAAGCCACAUGUAAAUAGGAAAUCUUCAACACUCCUAGCAGCCUCAAGUGGAUUUAUCAGAUCAAGUGCAUCAGAUAUAUCAGAUGAAUUCCUACAAUGCCUUCAAUUUUUAAUGGCAUAAUAAUGUGUUUCCAUGUCAUGUUAGAUAAAUAAAAUGUCUUGAAGAUCACAAUAUAUUAUAUAUCACAUCUUAACUAUACUUCUGCAGUAGCUGUUUAGGAUGUUAGUGGACCUGUUUUCCACAAAAUUUUCCACUUUUCCCAAAGCUUCCUAAUUCAUGGAGUGAUUUACGGUACUUGACAUUACAUAAUACUUAGCUGGUAAAUUUUUUAUAAGCAAGGAAAAAUUUAGGCAAACACAGGUCUGAUUUGCUGCUUAAUUCUGUAUUCUACAGAGAGUCCUCAAAAAAAGACUUUUUGACUGAUUACCUGGCUGAGAGCCCACGCAGUUACUGGGUUAGGACUUACAUGAAGAAGGAAAUAUCCUUUAGUGAAAGCCAUGAUCUAUUUGUCAUUGCCUUUUGUUCCAAGGGAAAAGCACCAGAGACUUCAAGGAUGUUCGAGGAUUAUUACACUGCGCAAAAAUUAACACUAUGCAAUUGAUCAUGAAGCCCUUUGCAGGGACCACAGAGUACUAUGGACUAUAUACUUAAAUGAAUAUUUCUGCCUUGCCUUUGGAUUUGGCUGAAAAUUAUAUUGGAAUCUUGUUAUUCUGUUUCAUUGCUCAAUGAGGCUGAACAACAAGUGGAAAAUAGAAUCCAGCAAGCUAGUAUUUCUCUUAGAAACUGGUAGUAUGCAGCGUUAUGAGCUAGAAUCCUAACUAAAGGGCUACUUUUUUUUUUUCUUUUUUGAGACAGGGUCUCACUCUGUCACACAGGCUAGAAUGCAGUGGUAAGAUCACAGCUCACUGCAGCCUCUACCUCCUGGGCUCCAGUGAACCUCCCUCCUUAGCCUCCCAAGUAGCUGGGACCACAGGUGCACGCCACUAUGCUCAGCUAAUUUUUUUGUUUUUUGUAGAGAAGGGUACUCACUAUGUUGCCCAGGCUAGUCUCAAACUCCUGGCCUCAAGUGACCCACCCACCUUGGCCUCCCAAAGUGC